GAUGAACGCUGGCGGCGUGCCUAAUACAUGCAAGUCGAGCGAACGGACGAGAAGCUUGCUUCUCUGAUGUUAGCGGCGGACGGGUGAGUAACACGUGGAUAACCUACCUAUAAGACUGGGAUAACUUCGGGAAACCGGAGCUAAUACCGGAUGAUAUUUUGAACCGCAUGGUUCAAAAGUGAAAGACGGUCUUGCUGUCACUUAUAGAUGGAUCCGCGCUGCAUUAGCUAGUUGGUAAGGUAACGGCUUACCAAGGCAACGAUGCAUAGCCGACCUGAGAGGGUGAUCGGCCACACUGGAACUGAGACACGGUCCAGACUCCUACGGGAGGCAGCAGUAGGGAAUCUUCCGCAAUGGGCGAAAGCCUGACGGAGCAACGCCGCGUGAGUGAUGAAGGUCUUCGGAUCGUAAAACUCUGUUAUUAGGGAACAACAUAUGUGUAAGUAACUGUGCACAUCUUGACGGUACCUAAUCAGAAAGCCACGGCUAACUACGUG
rnacentral:rRNA from 1 species